AGCAGGGUCUGUGGAUGUCCACAGAAGCCUAACCCAGAGUACAGGAGAAGCAAGGACGCUUCCCACUGGUACAAUUCUCCAUUGGAAGCAGAGAGAGAAAAGGCAUGGUUGAAGGACAGGAAAGAGAGGAAGCAGGACAUAAUUUGAGGAACUGAAAGAAAGGCGGCGAAGCUGGGUGAGUGGGUAAGGAGGCGCACAAGAUGGACAGGGCCAGAAUACAAAGAGCCUGUUCUAAUGGGGGUGUUCAGUGAUAACCCUCAGGGCACUAAAGGGUUAAGCGCGGCAGUGGUAAUCAGGCCCCCAUAUUAGGAGGGCCUGCUGAUGCCAGGGUCAGUGCUGCCUUGGAACAUUGACGAACAAACAAAUCCGCAGGACUCUGCCUUUCCCUUUAAUUGGACCUUUCCGGUUUCCUUCCUCCAUCCAUAUUCACCAAUUUCCCUUGAAACCCUUUCAAAACAGAGUUCUAUUUUAAGGUCAUCUUCGCUGGGGAGGAAGCAAGAAGAACCUAGCAAAUGUGACUGUCACACUCGCUGAACUGCCUGUCCUCAAGUCCUGCGGUCCUUGCAGCAGGAAGAAUCAAAAUGUUCCCAUAUCAAAACAGCCACAUCAAGGCAGCCACAUCAAGAUGUUCCUAGCAUCAAAAUGACUAUAUCAAAGCUGCGUGUCAGCAAAUUGACGACGACAAAACAGCAUGCAUCAAAAUGGCUGUAUCAUCCAUUGGUACAGCCUUUGCCAUCAAGGGAAUGUGCUCUAGAAUAUGACACUGUCUAUGUCUUCAGGAAUUACCGUGGUUCCUGAUGCAAAGUGAGUUCUUGACAAAUAUUUGCUGGAGAGAAUGGAUUCAAGCUUUUUGAAAGAAGAACUCCAUUAAGAAGUCUAGAAG